CUUCGCCCCGCCUCUGCGCGCGCAGGGUGAGCCUGGGGCCCCAGCGUUUAGGGGAGCGGAGGGGCCUGGGCCUGCCUCCCCUACAUUCUCGCUCAGCGCCCCCUCACCUCCGCAGAUGACCUGACACUCCGCCGGCGCCCCCUUAAAGCCUGGAACGAGUCUGACCUGGACGUGGCCUACGAGAAGAAAUCUCAGACCGCCAGCUAUGAACGCCUGGACAUCUUCACGCGGCCCGCCUCGCCGGGCCUGCAGCUGCUGCCCUGGAGAGAGAGCAGCCUGGAUGGGCUGGGGGCGUCAGGAAAGGACAAUCUCACGAGCGCCACUUUGCCCCGCAAUUACAAGGUCUCACCUCUGGCCAAUGACAGGCGCUCGGAUGGGGGCAGCUACCGCCGCUCGCUGGGCUCCGCCGCCGCAGGGCCAUCGGGCACCCUGCCCCGCAGCU
rnacentral:lncRNA from 1 species